AGAUUAGAACCUGUGGCUCUGAAUGUAUCAUGGGACAAACAGCUACAAGGUGCUUCUCUGAUUUAAUUGUUUGGAAGCGGUCACUGGAAGCAAAUCUAUGUGACUCAGCUUUGGUAGUGCAGCCCAGCUGGGGUCUGACAGGCCAUUUUUCAGUCUCCUGGUAAUGAAG